GACGAACGCUGGCGGCGUGCUUAACACAUGCAAGUCGAACGGAAAGGCGCUGCUUUUGUGGGGUGCUCGAGUGGCGAACGGGUGAGUAACACGUGAGUAACCUGCCCUUGACUUUGGGAUAACUUCAGGAAACUGGGGCUAAUACCGGAUAGGAGCUCCUGCUGCAUGGUGGGGGUUGGAAAGUUUCGGCGGUUGGGGAUGGACUCGCGGCUUAUCAGCUUGUUGGUGGGGUAGUGGCUUACCAAGGCUUUGACGGGUAGCCGGCCUGAGAGGGUGACCGGCCACAUUGGGACUGAGAUAGGGACCAGACUCCUACGGGAGGCAGCAGUCGGGAAUAUUGCACAAUGGGCGGAAGCCUGAUGCAGCAACGCCGCGUGCGGGAUGACGGCCUUCGGGUUGUAAACCGCUUUCGCAUGUGACGAAGCGUGAGUGACGGUAAUGGGUAAAGAAGCACCGGCUAACUACGUG
rnacentral:rRNA from 1 species